UCAUUAACCCACUGAGCAAGGGCAGGGAUCGAACCCGCAACCUUAUGGUUCCUAGUCGGAUUCGUUAACCACUGCACCACGAGGGGAACUCUCUGAAAGGUUUUUAAAUGCGGCAGAGAGUGUGGCAUGCGUUGGUGAAGGUGGUGUGAUCAGAUUUGCAUAUUGAAAAGAUCUCCAUGGGUACCGUGGAGAGAAUGGACCAGAAAAGAAUAGACACAGGAUGACUGAUGAGGAGGCUUUUGCUAGGAUUGGGUGAGAAGUCAGGUGGCUUGGAGCAGGGAAGAGACGGAUUGGAAGCUUUGGGGGAUCUUUAGGCAUGAGAUCUUCAGCACCUGCUGCUCGUUUGGAAAUGGAAGGAAAAAGAGAGGAGGCAGUCAAGGGUGAGUCCCAGGUUUGUAGCUUGCCUGACUGGGCAGCAGGUAGGGCCAUUCCCUGGGCAGGGGACCAUGGGAAGAGGGCCAGGUUGGAAGGUGGGUGGCAAUGGAGUGGAAUGUUCAUGGGUGAAUGGGGAUCACAAACAUUGUCUUGGAUAUUUUGAGUAGGAGAAGGUUUGGAACCAGCCAGUGAAGAUUUGAGUGUGAGGGGGGGUGGGUGGCUGCACUGAUCUGGAGCUCAGAAGAGGCACCUGGACUGAAGAAGUUGGGCAUCAUUAGUGUGUAGGUGGAAAUUAGGCUGCUGUGUGGCUGAGAUGGUCCAACAAAAGAUUCAGAUGAGCAGAGAAGAGGGUCUGGGCCCAGCCUAGAGGAUACCAGUGUUUAGUGGUUAUGUGGAGGAGAAUGAAUGUGCAAAGGAGACAGAGGGAGCCACCUGAGGCAGGGAAGAAGCAGAGAACGCAGUGUCCCUCACAGAGGCCACAGGAAGAAUGGAUUUCAAGAAGGCCAUCUCCUUCUGCUGUGUGAGAGACGACAGGAAAGAAGAAGAAUGAAAAAUAUCUGCUAAAUUUAGCCAUGAGGAGUCAUGAGAAUCUGGAUGUGAUGACCAGACAACAGCAGUCCUAGGACCACAGGAGGACAAGGAAGCCUAGAGGCCUCCGUCCUAGUACUUUAAGCUGCUGAACCAGCUCCGGCUCUCUCACCCACCUCCAGUGUCCAGCCCUUCUCCAGGAGCCCACCCAGAGUCACCUCACUGAAACAAAAGACACUCCUAUCAUCCAGAAAAUGACAAGGGUUUUAGGAGCUCUAUGCAAGGAACUGCGGGCAGAGGCCAAUACAUGUUUAUUUUAUUAUCUCACAAGAAAAUUAAUGAUACGAUAACAUCAAAUCCCCUUUCACAGGGGUAGGCAUA